rnacentral:rRNA from 1 species
ACGGAUAACGUUGGCGGCGUGCCUAAAACAUGCAAGUCGAACGGUGCUCGUCCUUCGGGGUGAGUGCAGUGGCGAACGGCUGAGUAACACGUGGGUGACCUGCCCUCGCGCGGGGGAUAACUGCCCGAAAGGGUGGCUAAUACCGCAGAUCUCCGGGCUUCGGUGUUCGGAGUGAACUCGCAAGGGGUGUGAGGAGGGGCCCGCGGNCGAUUAGCUAGCUGGUGGGGUAACGGCCUACCAGGGCGUCGAUCGGUAGCUGGUCUGAGAGGAUGAUCAGCCAGACUGGGACUGCGAACGGCCCAGACUCCUACGGGAGGCAGCAGUUAGGAAUUUUGGGCAAUGGGCGAAAGCCUGACCCAGCAACGCCGCGUGGGUGAUGAAGGCCCUCGGGUCGUAAAGCCCUUUUCCCAGGGACGAUGAUGACGGUACCUGGGGAAUCAGCCCCGGCUAACUACGUGCCAGCAGCCGCGGUAAUACGUAGGGGGCAAGCGUUGUCCGGAUUUAUUGGGCGUAAAGCGCUCGCAGGUGGUUCGUCGCGUCGUGCGUGAAAGACCCCGGCUCAACUGGGGAGGGUCGUGCGAUACGGGCGGACUGGAGGCCAGUAGGGGGAUGCGGAAUUCCGGGUGUAGUGGUGGAAUGCGUAGAGAUCCGGAGGAACACCAGCGGCGAAGGCGGCAUCCUGGACUGGUCCUGACACUCAGGAGCGAAAGCGUGGGGAGCGAUCCGGAUUAGAUACCCGGGUAGUCCACGCUGUAAACGAUGCGCACUAGGUGUCGGGGGUAUCGACCCCCUCGGUGCCGCAGCUAACGCGAUAAGUGCGCCGCCUGGGGACUACGGCCGCAAGGCUAAAACUCAAAGGAAUUGACGGGGGCCCGCACAAGCAGCGGAGCAUGUGGUUCAAUUCGACGCAACGCGAAGAACCUUACCCAGGCUCGAACGGCGACUGACAUCCGGCGAAAGCCGGCUCCCGCAAGGGCAGUCGUCGAGGUGCUGCAUGGCUGUCGUCAGCUCGUGUCGUGAGAUGUUGGGUUAAGUCCCGCAACGAGCGCAACCCUUGUCCGCUGUUGCCAUCAGGUUAUGCUGGGCACUCUGCGGAGACUGCCGGUGAUAAACCGGAGGAAGGUGGGGAUGACGUCAAGUCAGCAUGGCCUUUAUGUCUGGGGCUACACACGUGCUACAAUGGCCGAUACAAACCGUCGCGAUGCCGCAAGGUGGAGCUAAUCGGAGAAAGUCGGUCUCAGUUCGGAUUGCAGGCUGCAACUCGCCUGCAUGAAGUUGGAAUCGCUAGUAAUCGCGGAUCAGCACGCCGCGGUGAUACAUUCCCGGGCAUUUACUCACCGCCCG